UUUUGUUACUCAAGUUUGCACUGUUAGGCUCCUAACUUCAUUUAUUAACUUUCAACUAUCUGUUUGUUCUCUCUUUUUCUUUGUCUGUUAUGUUAUUUCAGUUAAGCUUGCAUGUUCAAUCCCUUCCCCUUGUCCCCUUGUCUGUUUGUUUGUUUCAAUAAUUCAUUUGAGUGCUAGCAUGUUUAAUUCCCUAGUUUGUCAUGCCACCUCACCUAUUUUGUGUACUUCAGUUAAGUUUCAUGAUAAUUCCCUUCCCCUUGUCCCCUUGUCUGUUUGUGCUCAGGAUAAUCCUGAACCCUGAUCUUUGUCUGCUUAUACCUUUAGUUCAAACUACAGCAUGUUAAUCCCUAUUCCUUUUCCCUUUGGUUGCUCACAUGCAGUGUUUUAUUAAGUCCAGCAUGUUAAAUACUUUCCUUUACUUCUUCAUUGUUCAUUAUUGUGCUUUAAUCUAAUCUUGUCUGCUAAGUGUUUUUAUAUGACUCCCCUCUCCAUUUGCUCCUUGUUUGUAUGUGAGUUGUUCUGGAUAAGGGUGGCACUUUAUUGCCAUUUCUAGUCUAGAAAUAAGGCUGUCAACAGUCUUGACUCAAAGCAAUCCCAUCCCCCCAUCCCCUAUCUUAUGUGUUUGAGCCUGGACAAAGGCCUAUUGGUGUCCUAAUCACCAUUCAGAUCUUUGUCUGACUUUUUUACAAGUCUGCUCUUGUUUGUUAACCCUUGUAAGAAGUCUAAGGUGCGUCAGUCUCACUCAAUAGGCUAGGUAUGACCACUUCAUACGAUUGUCUCCCUCUUAUCUAUUACCUUUACAUUUAUUCUUAGUUCCUUAAGUUCUACCCCCCUCUGGUAAGCCAUGCUUAGGGACCUCUGAGUCUCCUCUGAACUCGGAUGCCUUAAGGCAUUCCACACUUUCACUAAUCCAAUUAGAGUGUAAGCAAUGCCCGAG
rnacentral:lncRNA from 1 species